AUCUACUGCAUGCUGAGCGUUUGCAAUGGCGGACGUGUCUGAGAGGACGCUGCAAGUGUCCGUGCUAGUGGCUUUCGCCUCUGGAGUGGUCCUUGGCUGGCAAGCGAAUCGGUUGCGGAGGCGUUACCUGGACUGGAGGAAGCGGAGGCUGCAGGACAAGCUGGCGACGACUCAGAAAAAGCUGGACCUGGCCUGAGCACGUUGGGUUCUCUCCAAGCCUCGUGCAGCCCGUAUCCGGGGAGCUGCGCGACUACACGCCCUGAGUCCCGGCUCGUCCUUGCACGGCUUGCAGGAACGUGGCUUGCUUCCAGACCUCAGAAAGAAAAUAGUUUUGUCUUCGCUAACAGCCUGUGCUCAGCUUGUCGAAGAUGGAUAUAAAGCACGGGAAAGAAAACAUUUCUUGCACUUUAUGAAUCUAUUUUUAAAAUAAAAAAUUUUAAACAUC